AAUACCGUCUCACGCGGGGAACCCAGAUGUGGCUCCUUGAGCCUUGGGGUGAAGCUCGCACGCCGAGCCGGACCUCCCGUCCGAACCCGACAGCUAACCUCGCAGGGAAACAGGGAGAA
rnacentral:sRNA from 1 species